CCCUUAGAUGUUCUGGGCCGCACGCGCGCUACACUGAUGCAUUCAACGAGUCUAAAACCUGCUCUGAUAGGGGUGGGUAAUCUUUUGAAUGUGCAUCGUGAUUGGGAUAGAUGAUUGCAAUUUUUCAUCUUCAACGAGGAAUGCCUAGUAAACGCAAGUCAUCAGCUUGCAUUGAUUACGUCCCUGCCCUUCGUACACGCCGCCCGUCGCUCCUACCGAUUGAAUGAUCCGAUGAAUAUCAUGGAUUGAGGAUGCAAGUAGGUUAGCCUAUCUUCAUCUUCGAGAAGUGAAGUAAAUCUUAUCAUUUAGAGGAAGGAGAAGUCGUAACA
rnacentral:rRNA from 1 species